rnacentral:rRNA from 1 species
AGAGUUUGAUCAUGGCUCAGGACGAACGCUGGCGGUGUGCUUAACACAUGCAAGUCAACGAGAAUUUAUCUUCGGAUAAUAGUAAAGUGGCGAACGGGUGAGUAACGCGUAAAUAACUUGCCUUGGAGAUUGGGACAACAUUGGGAAACCAGUGCUAAUACCAAAUAAUGCAGCGGGCCCUUCGGGGCAUAGUUGUUAAAGUAGGCUUCGGCUUACACUUCAAGAUAGAUUUGCGUCCGAUUAACUUGUUGGUGGGGUAAUGGCCUACCAAGGUUGCGAUCGGUAGCUGGUCUGAGAGGAUGAUCAGCCACACUGGAACUGAGACACGGUCCAGACUCCUACGGGAGGCAGCAGUAGGGAAUAUUGCACAAUGGGGGAAACCCUGAUGCAUCGACGCCGCGUGAGUGAUGAAGUUUUUAGGAAUGUAAAAAUCUGUCGUAAGGGAAGAAAUGUUUCAGAUGUUAAUACCAUCUGUCAAUGAAGGUACCAUAGAAGAAAGGACCGGCUAACUUCGUGCCAGCAGCCGCGGUAAUACGAGGGGUCCAAGCGUUGCUCGGAAUUAUUGGGCGUAAAGCGGGUGUAGGCGGUUAUUUAAGUUGGAUGUGAAAGCCCAGGGCUCAACCUUGGAACUGCAUCCAAAACUGGGUAACUAGAGUACAGUAGAGGGGGGUAGAAUUUCAGGUGUAGCGGUGAAAUGCGUAGAGAUCUGAAGGAAUACCAGUGGCGAAGGCGGCCCCCUGGACUGAUACUGACACUGAGGUGCGAAAGCGUGGGUAGCGAACAGGAUUAGAUCCCCUGGUAGUCCACGCCGUAAACGAUGUCUACUAGCCGUUGGGAGGCUUGACCUCUUAGUGGCGCAGCUAACGCGAUAAGUAGACCGCCUGGGGAGUACGGCCGCAAGGUUAAAACUCAAAUGAAUUGACGGGGGCCCGCACAAGCGGUGGAGCAUGUGGUUUUAUUCGACGCAACGCGAAGAACCUUACCAAGUCUUGACAUCCUGCGAACUUUCUAGAGAUAGAUUGGUGCCUUCGGGAACGCAGUGACAGGUGCUGCAUGGCUGUCGUCAGCUCGUGUCGUGAGAUGUUGGGUUAAGUCCCGUAACGAGCGCAACCCUUGUCCUUAUUUGCCAGCACGUAAUGGUGGGAACUUUAAGGAGACUGCCGGUGACAAACCGGAGGAAGGUGGGGACGAUGUCAAGUCAUCAUGGCCCUUACGACUUGGGCUACACACGUGCUACAAUGGCCAGUACAAAGGGUUGCGACCCUGCGAGGGUGAGCUAAUCUCAUAAACCUGGUCGUAGUCCGGAUUGGAGUCUGCAACUCGACUCCAUGAAGCCGGAAUCGCUAGUAAUCGUGGAUCAGCAUGCCACGGUGAAUACGUUCCCGGGACUUGUACACACCGCCCGUCACACCAUGGGAGUGGGUUGCAAAAGAAGUGGGUAGACUAACCUUCGGGAGGUCGCUCACCACUUUGUGAUUCAUGACUGGGGUGAAGUCGUAACAAGGUA